GGUCGUGCUUAUGAAGCAAAAUAUUUAUUUUUAUGUUUUUCAGGAGUCAAUCAACAACUAUCAUCACAGUAAAACAGCCAAAAAGCUGAGAAACAAAAGAACAAAAAGACCAAAAGAUUUAGCACUAUAUUCAGUAUACUGUGUGGAAGGUUUGACAUUGGAACAAAGUAAGAAAAUCUGGGUAAAGUCAACUGGGAAAACAGUGUCCUUUACACGUGAAGUAACUGCUGGGCUCUGAUAAUUAUGUCCAGUGGUACCACAAGAAAGAUGGAGGCACACUUAAAAUUAAAAGACUUCUCUACAUCAGAAUGAAUUUCCUUAAAGAAUAGACACAGCUUUAGACUCUCUCUGUCACCAUGAGUUGCGUUCUGAAGUUAUUAGUCUUUAUUCAUCUGACAAUCAGAGGGGCUGAAGCCUUUGAGCUGCGACAGAAAAUCUCACUGACCAAAGCGGAAGAGAAGUUAGCCAUUAUAGACUGUUUUUUCCCUUCA